rnacentral:rRNA from 1 species
CGGGAUAACACCUGGAAACAGAUGCUAAUACCGGAUAACAACAGAUGAUGCCUAUCAACUGUUUAAAAGAUGGUUCUGCUAUCACUCUUGGAUGGACCUGCGGUGCAUUAGCUAGUUGGUAGGGUAACGGCCUACCAAGGCGAUGAUGCAUAGCCGAGUUGAGAGACUGAUCGGCCACAUUGGGACUGAGACACGGCCCAAACUCCUACGGAGGCAGCAGCC